rnacentral:rRNA from 1 species
UACGUAGGGGUGCGAGCGUUUGUCCGGAAUUACUGGGCGUAAAGAGCUCGUAGGUGGUUUGUCGCGUUGUUCGUGAAAUCUCACGGCUUAACUGUGAGCGUGCGGGCGAUACGGGCAGACUUGAGUACUGCAGGGGAGACUGGAAUUCCUGGUGUAGCGGUGGAAUGCGCAGAUAUCAGGAGGAACACCGGUGGCGAAGGCGGGUCUCUGGGCAGUAACUGACGCUGAGGAGCGAAAGCGUGGGGAGCGAACAGG